UACAGAGGUCUCAAGCGUUGUUCGGAUUUACUGGGCGUAAAGGGCGCGUAGGCGGCGGGUCAAGUCGAGUGUGAAAGCCCCGGGCUCAACCUGGGAAUUGCGCUCGAGACUGGUCUGCUUGAGUUCGGGAGAGGAGAGUGGAAUUCCCAGUGUAGAGGUGAAAUUCGUAGAUAUUGGGAAGAACACCGGUGGCGAAGGCGGCUCUCUGGACCGAGACUGACGCUGAGGCGCGAAAGCGUGGGGAGCAAACAGG
rnacentral:rRNA from 1 species